rnacentral:rRNA from 1 species
GGCGUGUGUGCUGCAAUGAGUCUUCCAUCCUUCUCGACAGUCACUGCUGCUGUUCACUCACUUGGGCGUGUGCGAUCUAAAUUAUUUACGUUUAAAGAAUUAAAUUGUUUAAAUACUGCUUAUGCCCAAAUACAUUAACGACUAAUAAUAAAAUAGGACUUCGGUUCUAUUUUGUUGGUUUCUAGAACUGAUUUAAUGAUUGAUAGGGAUAGUUACAGGUGCUAGCAUUCAGUGGCCAGAGGUGAAAUUGUAGGAUUCAGUGAAGACUAACUAGUGCGAAAGCGUUCACCAAGGAUGUGUUCUUUAAUCAAGAUCGAAAGUUGGGGGAUGGAAGUCGAUCAGAAUCAGUCGUAGUCUCAAUCAUAACCUAUACCGAUUAAGGAUCAGUGGACGUAUUAUUUCGACUCCAUUGGCACCUUCUGAGAAAUCAAAGUCUUUGGGUUCCGGGGGGAGUAGGGUGGCAAGGAGGAAAAUUAAAGGAAUUGACGGAAGGGCACCACCAGGAGUGGAGCAGCCGGCUUAAUUUGACUCAACACGGGAAAACUCACCAGGUCCAGACAUAGUGAGGAUUGACAGAUUGAAGAUCUUUCUUGAUUCUAUGGGUGGUGGUGCAUGCCCGUUCGUAGUUGGUGGAGUGAUUUGUUUGGUUAAUUCCGUUAACGAACGAGACCUCCACCUACCAAAUAGUUGGUUGAACCCUUUGGCUAUGCGCUUACUUUUUAGAGGGACCAUCGG